rnacentral:rRNA from 1 species
GGAAACGGGUGGUAAUGCCGGAUGUUCCACAUGAUCGCAUGUGAUUGUGGGAAAGAUUCUAUCGGCGUGGGAUGGGGUCGCGUCCUAUCAGCUUGUUGGUGAGGUAACGGCUCACCAAGGCUUCGACGGGUAGCCGGCCUGAGAGGGCGACCGGCCACAUUGGGACUGAGAUACGGCCCAGACUCCUACGGGAGGCAGCAGUGGGGAAUAUUGCACAAUGGGCGCAAGCCUGAUGCAGCGACGCCGCGUGAGGGAUGGAGGCCUUCGGGUUGUAAACCUCUUUUGUUUGGGAGCAAGCCUUCGGGUGAGUGUACCUUUCGAAUAAGCGCCGGCUAACUACGUGCCAGCAGCCGCGGUAAUACGUAGGGCGCAAGCGUUAUCCGGAUUUAUUGGGCGUAAAGGGCUCGUAGGCGGCUCGUCGCGUCCGGUGUGAAAGUCCAUCGCUUAACGGUGGAUCUGCGCCGGGUACGGGCGGGCUGGAGUGCGGUAGGGGAGACUGGAAUUCCCGGUGUAACGGUGGAAUGUGUAGAUAUCGGGA